rnacentral:rRNA from 1 species
UACAGAGGUCUCAAGCGUUGUUCGGAAUUACUGGGCGUAAAGGGUCCGUAGGUGGCUUGCUAAGUCAGACGUGAAAUCCCUCGGCUUAACCGGGGAACUGCGUCUGAGACUGGCGAGCUUGAGUGCAGGAGAGGAACGCGGAAUUCCAGGUGUAGCGGUGAAAUGCGUAGAUAUCUGGAGGAACACCGGUGGCGAAGGCGGCGUUCUGGACUGCAACUGACACUGAAAGACGAAAGCCAGGGGAGCAAACGGG